UACGUAGGGGGCAAGCGUUGUCCAGAUUUAUUGGGCGUAAAGAGCGUGUAGGCGGCUUUACAGGUCCGUUGUGAAAACUCGAGGCUCAACCUCGAGACGCCGGUGGAAACCGUAAGGCUAGAGUCCGGAAGAGGAGAGUGGAAUUCCUGGUGUAGCGGCGAAAUGCGCAGAUAUCAGGAGGAACACCCGUGGCGAAAGCGGCUCUCUGGGACGGUACUGACGCUGAGACGCGAAAGCGUGGGGAGCAAACAGG
rnacentral:rRNA from 1 species